GGCCCCGUUCUGAACCAGUUGACCAAAAAUCCCGAGCAAAGCGCUCCAGUGAGAGGAGGGAGAGACAGCUGUCAGCUGGAGCUGCUGAAUGCAGCGCGAAGGAUGGAAGGAUGCUGAUUUGAGCUGGGCGUGAUUUGGAAGAUCCAGAGAAGGACAUUCCAGGUCCCGGACAGCCAAAGCGAAGUCUCACAGGAUUCUGCCCUGCCCUUCAGCUCUGCAUCUGAUGGCCAGCAUCUGGGGGAUCUUGUUUUCCUAAGAUUGUUGGAAUUCCUGUUAUCAUCAUAUGAAGUCUUCCCCUGGCGUCAUCAGCUUCCUGUAUCCAGGAGCUGUUCUAACUAAGGAACCUCAGUGCAGACACCUGAAUAUCACAUUCUCUGCCUGAAGAAUUCUCCGAUCUUGGUAGAGUGUGGACCCUUUUGAGAUCUUGCUUUUUGGCAUGAUCAUUUCUGACAUACCUCUGUGUCCAUUGGUGUAAUUUUUUGUUUUUGGAAACAGACUGAGCUGCUUCUGCCCAGAGCCAUCAAGGCUGUACCUGAAACUGUCUCCUGACCUUGGAGUGCUCAAGUUCACAUGGACUCUCCACUUUGUUCUGGAGAUAUGUGGGCUCCGGCUCAGGCAGCAUCAAGACAAGCCAGGCCUGCAGACCUCCCCAAGGGACAAAAGCCCUCCUCCUCACCCACGAAGGUGGGCUCAUCCUGCUGGAUAUGAGACCUUCCCUUUACCUCUGCUAUCUUUUCUCUGUGUAAGAUUCACAUGACUCCCGCUCAGUCAUGGAUGUGGGCACGCCUCCGUGCCCGGGACCUCCACCGUCUCUUCCCCAGUCCUGCUGCAACUGCUCCGUAGCCCAGGCCCCACGACAUAACCGUCCCUGUGGCAGCAGCUGGUAGAUAAGACCAAAGGAUAUGACCAAAGAUUGGAAGGGUUAGGCCUCUCAGGAGGAUUGCCCCAGGGGCACGAUGCUGGCAGGUUAUGAGAACGAGAUGCCUCAGGGUAAGGACCCAGCCUUCACUUACUAAUCCUGUAAAUGAUGGAGAAGGGAAAGCCAGCGUUUAAAAAUAUCCCACCACGGAGUUCCCGUUGUGGCACAAUGGGAUUGGCAGCAUCUUGGGAGCUCUGGGACACAGGUUCUGUCCCAGCCCGGCACAGUGGGUUAAGAAUCCAGGGUUGCCGAAGCUGUGGCUUAGGUUGCAACUGCGGCUCAGAUCAGAUCCCUGGCCUGGGAACUCCAUAUGCUGCAAGGCAGCCAAAAACAGAAAACAAACGAAAACUAUAUAUGUGUGUGUGUGUGUGUGUGUGUACAAAUCCCACUGCUUGCUCCAUGAGUCCCCUAAAAUGAAGAUAAGACUCCAGCCAAGAAAUUAAGUUGAUUUGGGAAAAACUAAAAAUCCCUCCUUGGUGUUAUAACUUCAAGUUCAGUUUACUGUUAUUAUGUAGUGCUUUCUAGCAAUAUUUUCCCAUUUAUAUUAUUUUUAAAAGAAAUGGAAUUUCCCUGGUGGCCUAACAGGUUAAGGAUCCCGCAUUGUCACUGCUGUGGAUAAGUGACAAUGCUGUGGUGUGGGUUUGACCCUUGGCCCAGGAACUUCUGCAUACCAUGUCCAAAAAAGCCCAUUAUUGCCUUAGAGAUUUCCAAUUAUCUCUCCAGUUUGAUUAACAAAAACUGGUUAAUUAGGUUUCACUGUAUGAGCUAAGGAGUUUCAUUAUUCUGUUUGCCUAAAAUCUAAAAUUUGUACUACAUAUUUGCAUAUAUAUAUCUUACAUAUAUGUAUUUGUAUAUUUG
rnacentral:lncRNA from 1 species